CUUUUCAGUGGUGCCCAGUGCCAGGACAGGAGGAAUGGGCACAGAUUGGAACACA
rnacentral:miRNA from 7 species